AUGAGUGUAGCAGAGUCACAACAGGAAAACUUGACUGAGAAGAACACAGCGGGCACGCUGGAGCUGCCUGACUUGCCCCUGCAGAAGGGCUCUGUGAAGCUCCUCACGCAGAGAUGGGAGUGUGCCAGUGCUCCAAGAUCCAGCUUGACACCCCGACGCCUACCAGCCCUAAGGUCUCCAGUGCCAGAUAAAACAAGACAGAGCAGCAACGUGGAGAAAGUCCUGGCAGACAGUGAGAGGGUGGAGGUAUUCAAGGAGGAGCCCCUGGGUGGCCCUCGCCAGAUCGAGCGCUCCGCCAUCGCUGUGAAGGAGCUGCAGAGCCGUUUUGAGAUCCUGGGUGGCAGAAAGGUGACCCUCCAAAUGAAAAGAAGUUCUAAUAAAGAAGAGAAGCAAAGGCUCAGUAGAAGGAAUGGGAGGUGAGGGGAAUGGAGUGAAGAAAGUGUUCAUUUCAUCUGCUUGCCAAGAUGCACCUGAAAAGUAUUUGAGUAUAUGUCAGUGUAGGUCUUCCAAACUUGGCUAAAAAUUAUUUUCUCUCAGGGUCACCCAACCUGAGGCAGGAACUGGAAUUGAAGCUGAUGUAUUAGGCACUAAAGGACAUUCCAUGAGAUUGAAUGGAUAGUUAAUAAAAUAUGCAUUUUUAUUCA
rnacentral:lncRNA from 1 species